UACAGAGGGUGCAAGCGUUGCUCGGAAUUAUUGGGCGUAAAGGGUAGGUAGGUGGUCUCAUUUGUCUGAGGUGAAAGCCUUGAGCUUAACUCAAGAAGUGCCUCAGAAACGGUGGGACUCGAGUCCUGGAGAGGGUCGUGGAAUUCCCGGUGUAGCGGUGAAAUGCGUAGAGAUCGGGAGGAACACCAGAGGCGAAAGCGGCGACCUGGACAGGCACUGACACUCAACUACGAAAGCGUGGGGAGCAAACAGG
rnacentral:rRNA from 1 species